UACGUAGGGUGCAAGCGUUGUCCGGAAUUAUUGGGCGUAAAGGGCUCGUAGGCGGUUUGUCGCGUCGGGAGUGAAAUCCACUGGCUUAACUGGUGGCUUGCUUUCGAUACGGGCAGACUGGAGGUAUGCAGGGGAGAACGGAAUUCCUGGUGUAGCGGUGAAAUGCGCAGAUAUCAGGAGGAACACCGGUGGCGAAGGCGGCAUCCUGGACCGGCAUUGACGCUGAGGCGCGAAAGCCAGGGGAGCAAACGGG
rnacentral:rRNA from 1 species